AUUUCAAUUCCAACUUAUUUUAAAGGACCCAUGGUAUGGAAAUGUACGUUUGAGGUUUUUUAACAUUAAUAUGAGUUCCCCAAGCCUGCCUAUGGUCCCCCAGUGGCUAGAAAUGGUGA